rnacentral:rRNA from 1 species
UACGUGAGGGGCAAGCGUUGUCCGGAAUUAUUGGGCGUAAAGCGCGUGUAGGCGGCCAGAAAAGUCCGCUGUGAAAACUCGAGGCUCAACUUCGAGCUGUCGGUGGAAACUUUCUGGCUAGAGUCCGGAAGAGGAGAAUGGAAUUCCUGGUGUAGCGGUGAAAUGCGCAGAUAUCAGGAAGAACACCCGUGGCGAAGGCGGUUCUCUGGGACGGUACUGACGCUGAGACGCGAAAGCGUGGGGAGCGAACAGG